rnacentral:rRNA from 1 species
UACGUAGGGGGCAAGCGUUGUCCGGAAUUAUUGGGCGUAAAGCGCGCGCAGGCGGUCAUUUAAGUCUGGUGUAUAAACCAAGGGCUCAACCUUUGGACGCAUUGGAAACUGGGUGACUGGAGUGUAGGAGAGGAAAGUGGAAUUCCACGUGUAGCGGUGAAAUGCGUAGAGAUGUGGAGGAACACCAGUGGCGAAGGCGACUUUCUGGCCUGUUCUUGACGCUGAGGCGCGAAAGCUAGGGGAGCAAACAGG